UACGAAGGGGGCUAGCGUUGUUCGGAAUUACUGGGCGUAAAGCGUGCGCAGGCGGUGAUGUAAGACAGUUGUGAAAUCCCCGGGCUCAACCUGGGAACUGCAUCUGUGACUGCAUCGCUGGAGUGCGGCAGAGGGGGGAUGGAAUUCCGCGUGUAGCAGUGAAAUGCGUAGAUAUGCGGAGGAACACCGAUGGCGAAGGCAAUCCCCCUGGACCUGUACUGACGCUCAUGCACGAA
rnacentral:rRNA from 1 species